UUGUUACGUUCGCGUGCGAGAACGAACAAAAAUGUAUGUCUGCAUCUUUGUCAUCUUUACGCUCGUUGCCCUCCUUGACCAGACACGGCGACACGCGCUGGCCAAGGAGGCUUUCUCGUAUUUGGAAUAUCCUUCUUCUUAGUCUUAUAAAGUUCUUCAACAAUAUCCACACACAACUUUAUUUAGUACUGUACUUUAAUCUUCUUUUUUCUAAUCCUUUUUCUC